rnacentral:rRNA from 1 species
UACAGAGGGUGCAAGCGUUAAUCGGAAUUACUGGGCGUAAAGCGUGCGUAGACGGUUAUUUAAGUCGGGUGUGAAAGCCCCGGGCUCAACCUGGGAAUUGCAUUCGAGACUGAAUAGCUAGGGUGCGGAAGAGGGAAGCGGAAUUUCCGGUGUAGCGGUGAAAUGCGUAGAUAUCGGAAGGAACACCAGUGGCGAAAGCGGCGAUCUGGGAAGAUACUGACGCUGAGGUGCGAAAGCGUGGGGAGCAAACAGG